rnacentral:lncRNA from 1 species
CGACGCGCCAGGCAGGUAGCUGGCCCUGGGUGAUUGACGCUCCAUGCAUCCUUCUGGGCUCCACCAGCGACCCCUUGGUCUCUGGGCCAUGCAGCGACCAGGCUGCAGGGCUCCUACCAGACCUUCCUCAAGAGCCCUAGGCAAUUAGAGCCAAAGCCACCGCCACCCCCACUUCUAUUAAAUGUCAAGGGGAAGAUGUGUGCCACUACAGUCAGCUCUUGCAUGUCUACAAUCUAACCAGCAGCCAGAAUGAGUUUUAAAAGUGGAAUAAAUUCAUUCAUCUGCUUAAAAUUCUCUGAUGAAAUCUAAGAAGCUGGGUCAGCUGGUAAUUGUGAUUGCUACACAAUCUGAGUUUGGAUCCCCAGAAACAAGGGCACAAAGAGAACAUGCCUGGAAGAUGAAAGGGGAAGCUCUGAAGAGCAAAGCUGUGUGAUGAACUUAGAGCAGGCUCACCAGAUAUGCUGACAACCAACAUUACAAACAAAGCACUCAGGGUGUCUUUGGUAAGCUUACAGUAGGCAAAUAAAUUAUUUAGAAAAGCAUCUUAGAUUUCUUCUGCCGUGGAAUAAUCCUGUACACUGUGAAAAUGUGUUGCUCUCAUUGUUAAUAAAAAGAUGAUUGGCUAGUAGCCAGGCAGGAAGUACAUAUGAAACAACCAGACUAAGAGGAUGCUGGGACAGGGGAGGGAAGAAGGGUGGAUUCAUGGGAGUCUGAGAGGUCGAGAAUAGAUACAGGAGAAGCUGGAUGGGAA